rnacentral:rRNA from 1 species
AGGACGAACGCUAGCGGCAUGCCUAACACAUGCAAGUCGAACGGUAACAGGCCCUUCGGGGUGCUGACGAGUGGCGGACGGGUGAGUAAUGCGUAGGAAUCUACCCACGAGUGGGGAUAGCCCGGAGAAAUCCGGAUUAAUACCGCAUAUGCCCGUAACGGGGUAAAGCGGGGAUACGUAAGACCUCGCGCUGGUGGAUGAGCCUACGUCCGAUUAGUUAGUGGU